rnacentral:tRNA from 1 species
UGGGGCAUAGUAUAAUUGGUAGUACAGCGGAUUCUGAUUCCGUCAGUCCUGGUUCAAGUCCAGGUGCCCCAGCCA